UACGUAGGGGGCUAGCGUUGUCCGGAUUUAUUGGGCGUAAAGAGCGUGUAGGCGGCCAGGUAGGUCCGCUGUGAAAGUCCGAGGCUCAACCUCGGAAUGUCGGCGGAAACCCUCUGGCUAGAGUCCGGAAGAGGAGAGUGGAAUUCCCGGUGUAGCGGUGAAAUGCGCAGAUAUCGGGAAGAACACCCGUGGCGAAGGCGGCUCUCUGGAACGGUACUGACGCUGAGGCGCGAAAGCCAGGGGAGCAAACGGG
rnacentral:rRNA from 1 species